CGGAGGGGUGGCAGAGUGGUCGAAUGCGGCGGUCUCGAAAACCGUUUACCCCUUCGGGGGUACGAGGGUUCGAAUCCCUCCUCCUCCGCCAU
rnacentral:tRNA from 1 species